GAGAAAGAAAAUAGAUCAGCUGUAAAGCUAAAUGACUAAAAUGUUAAUAGAGCAAGGCAGUUAGAGACAACAUAUGAGAAAUAAUUUACAUUUAUGAGAUUCAGAGAAUGUGUGAACAACUGAAGAGGUAGAAAAUAAUGCAAAUAAAGGUGGAAGCAUGAAAUACUGGCAAAGGAGGUGCCAGCUGCCAAGGAGAUCAGAAGAAGGAAAACGCAAAUCAGCUACAAGUUGGUGUUCCAACAGUUUUGGUUUUGGGGCAACUUGGAAAUUACAUAACAUAGCUUUUAAAAUUCCAUGAGCUAUUUCCAUUGCGUGUGAAAGGCACCGUAUCACAGUUUGCAUUUGUUGGUUACGUAGAGAUUUGGAUUUAUCUUUGGAGCUGACUUAUACUGGAGUAAGAGUUCCAGAGAAAUGGAAGCUCUCUAAUUCUCUGCCAGCUGGCCAUUCUGCUUGCAUGUACAAACACAAUGAAUCAUCACAUCAUUCAUCCAUAUUGAGAUUCACAAGUUCUGAAGAAGAAUCUUUGGACUCAAAACAUUAACCGUUUUUCUCUGCACAGGUUCUUCAAUAACUUUCCAUUACUGCCAUUUAGCUGUUCAGAAGCAUAACCUAACAAGACCCAGGUUUGCUGAGCAUGACAAACUUCAAAGUUGGAAAUUCUCAAUCCUCUAGUUCUACAGACACUAAAACUCUGAUGCAAAUGACAAAUAUGAAAGAACAAUGCCACCCGAUGCCACUUUGGAUCAUUAUAAGGCUGAACCAGUUAUCAGCUUGAAGCUUUAUCCUUUGGGUGGUGAAUGUAGCAAGUAGGUGUGAAAUUUUAACAAAGCUGGUCAUAAGUAAGCCAGCAACAAAGUGUAAUGUGAACUUGUUUUCAAACUUUUGA